UACGAAGGGAGCUAGCGUUGUUCGGAAUCACUGGGCGUAAAGCGCACGUAGGCGGACCGCUAAGUCGGAUGUGAAAGCCCUCGGCUUAACCGAGGAAGUGCAUUCGAAACUGACAGUCUUGAGUAUGGAAGAGGGUCGCGGAAUUCCCGGUGUAGAGGUGAAAUUCGUAGAUAUCGGGAGGAACACCAGUGGCGAAGGCGGCGACCUGGGCCAAUACUGACGCUGAGGUGCGAAAGCGUGGGGAGCAAACAGGAUUAGAACCUACGU
rnacentral:rRNA from 1 species